rnacentral:rRNA from 1 species
GACGAACGCUGGCGGCGUGCUUAACACAUGCAAGUCGAACGCUGAAGACCUGGCUUUUGUUGGGUUGGAUGAGUGGCGAACGGGUGAGUAACACGUGAGUAACCUGCCCUCUUCUUUGGGAUAACGCCCGGAAACGGGUGCUAAUACUGGAUAUUCACUGAUCUUCGCAUGGGGGUUGGUGGAAAGGUUUGUUCUGGUGGGGGAUGGGCUCGCGGCCUAUCAGCUUGUUGGUGGGGUGAUGGCCUACCAAGGCUUUGACGGGUAGCCGGCCUGAGAGGGUGACCGGUCACAUUGGGACUGAGAUACGGCCCAGACUCCUACGGGAGGCAGCAGUGGGGAAUAUUGCACAAUGGGCGAAAGCCUGAUGCAGCGACGCCGCGUGAGGGAUGAAGGCCUUCGGGUUGUAAACCUCUUUCGCUCAUGGUCAAGCCGCAACUGUGGGUUGUGGUGAGGGUAGUGGGUAAAGAAGCGCCGGCUAACUACGUG